rnacentral:tRNA from 1 species
GCAGUUGUGGCCGAGUGGUUAAGGCGUUGGACUCGAAAUCCAAUGGGGAAGUCCCCACGCAGGUUCGAAUCCUGUCAACUGCG